rnacentral:misc_RNA from 1 species
GAAUCAUCAAAAAUUAUAUGUCACUACUAUAGAACAUAUUAAAUCCUGCACAAUCAAAGGGAUAAUUCAAUGGCUUCAUAGUCAGUGCCUCAAGUAUAUCUAUGUUCAACAAAAAUGAGCACUCAAAUUCUGAGAGCAUUAACUUGCAUUAAAAUUGACAAGUAAGUUUAAUGACAUGGUUGAACAUAUGAAGCUUGUAAAGAAGCCUAAGAGCAAUAGUCCUUAAAGGUCCCACCACCAAAAGCUAAUCCCUUGAGUUAGAUUUAUGUUUGUUCUCGAACCAAAAACCAAAUGUCCAACAAACAGACCCGAC